UGGAUGAAGAGGAUUACACAAUACUGAGGUGGAAAACAUCUGUAUAUAUGAUAAAAUAUAUUUCAGUAUUUUAAAGUAAAGGUUGUCAAAUGAACGGGAUAUAUUACUGAUAUUACCUCUUAUAAACAAAACUAAUAAGCGUAGGACUUAUUCAGGGCAUUUGCAAUGUAUGGGAACCAGUCUACGAGGCAACAAAAAUUCCGCCAAGAAUAAACAAAGAGAUUGCGAGAUGUUGUUUACGUGUGUCACUCGACACUGACUGCAAGAAACAAAGAGUGGAGAGCUAAUGCAUGGUGCUAAGUAUGGAAAGGUCUCUUGUGGUUUGAUUGUGCCAGUGACAAAUGUGCAUUAUUUCCAUGUUGGGUCAGAAGUCUCGGUACACUUUAGGUGAGUGGCAGUUGGGUAGAUGGAUGACCUUCAGAUAGUUUGAGAUGAAGAAGUUCUUUUAAAUGGUUGAAAGUGAUCAUCAUAGAAUCAACUCCAUUAUGAAGAUAAAUUAUGAGAGUCAGCACUUCUUUUGUCCAACACCUGAGAGAUCUGAGUACCCAGCCUACUGUUGAAUUAAUUGGUGACCAAGAAAAGAUGACAGAGAGGGGAAUCAAAUAUGGAUGCCAUCUUGAUCAAGAAUAUAUAUAGAUGAACAUUCAAGCAUUUAUAAUAAUGAAAGUCAUUCAGCAAGAGAGUUUUUGCACAAGUUUAAUUUUCAGUAAAAUUGUGUAUAUUGUGCACUGAGGAACUUAGUAUGUAACUCAUUAUGA